GAGUUUGAUCUUGGCUCAGAACGAACGCUGGCGGCAUGCCUAACACAUGCAAGUCGAACGAGACCUUCGGGUCUAGUGGCGCACGGGUGCGUAACGCGUGGGAAUCUGCCCUUGGGUUCGGAAUAACAGUUAGAAAUGACUGCUAAUACCGGAUAAUGACUUCGGUCCAAAGAUUUAUCGCCCAGGGAUGAGCCCGCGUAGGAUUAGCUAGUUGGUGAGGUAAAGGCUCACCAAGGCUACGAUCCUUAGCUGGUCUGAGAGGAUGAUCAGCCACACUGGGACUGAGACACGGCCCAGACUCCUACGGGAGGCAGCAGUGGGGAAUAUUGGACAAUGGGCGAAAGCCUGAUCCAGCAAUGCCGCGUGAGUGAUGAAGGCCUUAGGGUUGUAAAGCUCUUUUACCCGGGAUGAUAAUGACAGUACCGGGAGAAUAAGCUCCGGCUAACUCCGUGCCAGCAGCCGCAGU
rnacentral:rRNA from 1 species